UACGUAGGGGGCAAGCGUUGUCCGGAAUCAUUGGGCGUAAAGAGCGUGUAGGCGGCCCGAUAAGUCCGCCGUGAAAGUCCAGGGCUCAACCCUGGGAUGCCGGUGGAUACUGUCGGGCUCGAGUCCGGAAGAGGAGUGUGGAAUUCCUGGUGUAGCGGUGAAAUGCGCAGAUAUCAGGAGGAACACCAAUGGCGAAGGCAGCUCGCUGGGACGUUACUGACGCUGAGACGCGAAAGCGUGGGGAGCAAACAGG
rnacentral:rRNA from 1 species